rnacentral:rRNA from 1 species
UACGUAGGGGGGCAAGCGUUGUCCGGAUUUAUUGGGCGUAAAGAGCGUGUAGGCGGCCAGAUAGGUCUGUUGUGAAAACUCGAGGCUCAACCUCGAGACGCCGAUGGAAACCAUCUGGCUAGAGUCCGGAAGAGGAGAGUGGAAUUCCUGGUGUAGCGGUGAAAUGCGCAGAUAUCAGGAAGAACACCAAUGGCGAAGGCAGCUCUCUGGGACGGUACUGACGCUGAGACGCGAAAGCGUGGGGAGCGAACAGG